GCAUCAUCAAAUACUCAGAAACCUUACUAGAAUGUCAUGUAUAUGUGCAUGGAAAUGAGAGUGGGAGGACUCGCCUGCCAGAGGGAAUGUGGCUUUGGCAGCUUUUUUCCAACUGUUAAAAUCUGGGCUCCACUGUCAUCACUUACAUCUUCCAUGAGCUAACGGAUUGGAGUCAUAAUGAAAGUAGAUGAAAAACUGCUGAAAAUGAACCAAGCAGAGGUUUGGCCUCUUCUGUUAGAACCAGAGAAACUAGAAGAUCUUGGAUCUUGCUUUGAAAACUAGCCUUGAUCUUGCUUCUAAGAUUUGAGAUCCAUCUUGUGCUUCAAAGGGAAGAAGAAAGAGGCAGAGUCGGUGUUACUGGGUGAAGACUACAGGAGAUCCUGUUACAGUCAGAAGUGUCUCGAGGAGUUUCUGGGACUCAUGUGUAUGAGAACUGUUUUCCGAGUCACCUUACUGAAACCUUUGGAAAACUCCCACUGUUCGCCUAUGUGUACUCACUUCCUGCUGCCGAGACAGGGACUGAGCUGAACCACACUGGGGUAUAUAAAGCUGCAAUUCCUUUCAGAAAAUAUGAGCCAGUAGUUAAAGAAGUUGAAAUUCACCUCCCACCCUGUAGCUCUACUCUAGGUUACCCCAAAAGCAAGUCUCAGAAUAAUUCUGCCCCCAAUACAGAUAGCUGUUAACAAGCAAGCAAAGCCUUAAAGCACAAGGAGAUUAUUUGGGUAGGGAGAACUCAAAGAUACCAAGAAAAGAUAUGAACAUAUGUUGGUGGUAACUGACAUAACUUAUUUAAACAUAUUUAUCCAUAUACUAUUGGUAUUUCAAUCAGAUACUUAUAGAAUAUGGGAUCUAUUCUUUUUGCUUUUAAAUUCCCCAUGUAAUCUACUCAUCCAAAGUAACAGAGAAAAAGAAAUGAGUCUGAUCCCUGAGUGUAUACCAAUGAGACUGAGGAGCAUAGAGACAACUUUUUGUUCAGUGAAACUGUGUAAGCAUUACAAAUGUAUGUACAUUUUGUGUCUCCUAAACCAAACGUUUCCAUCCCAGGUGUAUAAGGUUUUUACCAGGAAGCUCCACACUAAGAUGCCUUCGAGGAGGAACAGCAGUAAUUGUGAGUGAGGCAAGGUUCAUGCAUCCAGCUGCAGGCACCAGAAAGAUACUGAUCUAGUAUACAGGACCAGGUGUCUGGAAUCUUCACAGUACAAUAACAGGCCAAAACUGGGUGAACAAGCACUGGGGUCUGCCCAGCCAUGGAUGAAAAAUGAAAUGAUUUGACAAGGGGGCUCCUAGGAAAGCAGCCGAUCUCUCAAAUCCAGGAAGAUGGGCAGCAGGGGAGAAAAUAUCUGAGACAUAGCCCAUCGUGGGGCUGUAACAACUGAGGUGACACUUUGAAAGCGAUUGGGACUCCAGCCAUGAGUAACCACAGAGAAUGAUAUGAAUAAAAGCAGCAGGUUCUGAGGAGACUCAGCCACUCUCACAAUAGAGAGACCGAGAGGAAAUUUCAGGUGUCAGAAAUCAGACUCAAGUUAGAGACACAUGUAUAAUAUCUGAAGGUUAAGCCCAGAAUUUAAAGGCUAAGCCUCUAUAAAUGUUCCUUCUCAAAGUCAGAAGUAGGAGUAUUUCCAUCAGCAUUUUGAGGAAAUUAAUUUCAAGUGACUUGAACAGUAAAGGAAUUACUUAGUCACAAAAUGGGAACUCAGUAGAGCAGGCCAUGGCUAGCUUCAUCCAGAUGCGCCAACUCUGCUUUUCAGUGACUGCUUCGACUCUGCUUCAGGACAGCUGAGGGAGGAAGUCAUCUGCAGGCUGAUAGCAACUGACACUCACUGUGCUGAUCUUGGAUGUGGAUAUAUCUGCACAUUAGGGUCACGAGUAUAGGUGCAUGCCUGCUGCUUUUCCAACUGAGAUCUGGAGUGUAUUUCACUUCCCUUGAAAUGGCCGUGGCAUUUAUCUUGACCCACACGAUGCAAUGAAGUGAUCCUAUUUUAUCCCAGAAUUAGCCUGGGCCUCUACAGUAUCAUAUUGAAAGGAAGCUAAGCAGGGCAAUUGGAACCAUAUGGAGAAAAUGGGAUGCAAUGAGAAGCCCAAGACACCAAACUUGGCUGAAUCCUUCCUAAAUGUCGCAUGUGAAGCCUGCCACCAGAUGGAUAGAACCAAGGGAAAGGGAAAAGAACAGCCUGGCCAAGCUUUGCUGGACUCCACCCAGAAGAAUCAUGAAAACAAAUGAUCAAUUGUUUUUAGUCAUUGAGCUUCUUCUUUUUUUUUUUAUUUAAAAGCAAUAACAAUGUUUAUUGAACAUGUUCUGUUACCAUUUAUUACAUUGUAUUUAUUGAGCUCCUUAUGUAUUUAUGUACAUUAUCGUAUUUAUUGAGCUCCUUGUUUAGACUUCACAACCCCAGUGAGAGGUGUUACUGCUGGGGCAGGAAACCUACGGACUCAGGUGAGUUCAGCUUGUCUGCGGUUAAGGCUGGAACGCAGCCCUCAGUCACCGCUGAUCCUGCAGACUCAUGCUGUGUGUGCACUUGAAACCAAAUGACUUGCAAAGCAGUAACUCAAAAGACAACAAUAAGAUAUUAGCCCUGUGUCAGAUAUAGGGUUGGUAAAGAUCCUUUCCCAGUCUGUAGGUAGUCAUUUUGUUCUGACAACAGUGUCCCUUGCUUUACAGAGCUUUUCAAUUUCAUGAGGUCCAGUUUAUAGAGUGUUACUCUUAGAGCCUGUGCUGUUGGUGUUCUGUUCAGGAAGUUGUCUCCUGUGCCAGUGAGUUCAAGGCUCUUCCCCACUUUUUCUUCUAACAGGUUUAGUGUGUCUGGUUUUAUAUUGAGGUCUUUGAUCCACUUGGACUUUAGUUUUGUGCAGGGUGAUAAGUAUGGAUCUAUUUGCAUUUUUCUACAUUAAAAAAAAAGACAACAAACGAACAAAAACACCCUACACUCUUUCAUAAAGAUUUUAGAGUUGCCCUGGCAAAUGAUUGUUUUACAAUUUUAUUUCUAUUUUUCUGCCUGCCAAGUUACCCCCGUCCUCCCCACUUCUUUUCAUUUUGACCGCAUCUGCUUCUCUGCUCCUGAGACUUGCAGGAGGCCCUGGCACAUCCUCCUGGCUUUUAGUGAACUCUACUCUCUGCUGCUUCUCAGUGUAAGAAUUAACGCUUGCCCAACUGCUCAAUACUUUUUAUUUUCUGUUCUAGACAUCAGCUAUCUGAGCCUUUGUUCUCCAGUGAGUUUGUUCUGUUUUCACUCUCUAAUUCUACUCUCAUCUUUUCUCUAUUAAUACUAUGGCUUUUGGUAGAGACAAGGGGACACUGCUGCAUUACAGGGUUUAUGAUGAAGCCAUCCCUCUCUCUCCCAUCCACAACUCAUCCAUCCAUUUUUGCAAAGGGGAUGUGAGUUGAAGAGAGCCAGGGAGGUCUAGUGGUCGUCAUUGAGCUACUUAUACAGCAACAGAAAGUCUAACUAUAUGUGAUGUUGACAGUAUAUAUCCCAUAGCUAUAUAAAGAAGAAAGGUGUGUGAAUCACAAAUGCCUGCAAUCAACACUCAAUAUUAAAUAUUAUUGUAAUUGA